rnacentral:rRNA from 1 species
GUCGAGAAUCUUCCGCAAUGCGCGAAAGCGUGACGGAGCGACACCGCGUGAUGGAUGAAGUCCUUCGGGGCGUAAACAUCUUUUAUAAAGGAGGAAAUUUUUGACGUUACUUUAUGAAUAGGGGGCUCCCAAUCUCGUGCCAGCAGGAGCGGUAAUACGAGAGCCUCAAGCGUUAUCCGGAAUCAUUGGGCGUAAAGGGUGCGUAGGUGGUUUGAUUAGUCUCCCGUUAAAACUUCGAGCUUAACACGAAAAGAGCGGGGGAAAAGGUCAAACUAGAGUAUGUGAGAGGUGUGUGGAACUCAUGGUGUAGGGGUGAAAUCCGUUGAUAUCAUGGGGAACACCAAAAGCGAAGGCAGCACACUGGCACAUCACUGACACUGAGGCACGAAACCUAAGGUAGCGAAUGGGAUUAGAUACCCGGGUAGUCC